rnacentral:rRNA from 1 species
GACGAACGCUGGCGGCGUGCCUAAUACAUGCAAGUUGAGCGAUGAAGAUUGGUGCUUGCACCAAUUUGAAGAGCAGCGAACGGGUGAGUAACGCGUGGGGAAUCUGCCUUUGAGCGGGGGACAACAUUUGGAAACGAAUGCUAAUACCGCAUAACAACUUUAACCAUAAGUUUCAAGUUUGAAAGAUGCAAUUGCAUCACUCAAAGAUGAUCCCGCGUUGUAUUAGGUAGUUGGUGAGGGAAAGGCUCACCAAGGCGAUGAUACAUAGCCGACCUGGGGAGGUGGUCGGCCACCAUGGGACUGGGACACGGGCCCAGACUCUUAGGGAGGCAGCAGGAGGGGAACAUCGGCAAUAGGCGGAAGUCUGACCGAGGAAAGCCGCGUGAGGGGAGAAGGUUUUCGGAUCGUAAAACUCUGUUGGUAGGGAAGGACGUUGGUGAGAGUGGAAAGCUCAUCAAGUGACGGUACCUACCCAGAAAGGGACGGCUAACUACGUG